rnacentral:rRNA from 1 species
GGGAGGCAGCAGUGGGGAAUAUUGCACAAUGGGCGCAAGCCUGAUGCAGCCAUGCCGCGUGUGUGAAGAAGGCCUUCGGGUUGUAAAGCACUUUCAGCGGGGAGGAAGGCGGUGAGGUUAAUAACCUCAUCGAUUGACGUUACCCGCAGAAGAAGCACCGGCUAACUCCGUGCCAGCAGCCGCGGUAAUACGGAGGGUGCAAGCGUUAAUCGGAAUUACUGGGCGUAAAGCGCACGCAGGCGGUCUGUCAAGUCGGA